rnacentral:rRNA from 1 species
UCAGGACGAACGCUGGCGGCGUGCCUAACACAUGCAAGUCGAGCGAUGAAGUCCUUCGGGGCGGAUUAGCGGCGGACGGGUGAGUAACACGUGAGUAACCUGCCUCAUAGAGGGGGAUAGCCUCCCGAAAGGGAGAUUAAUACCGCAUAACAUAUUUUUGGUUGCAUGACCGAAAUAUCAAAGGAGUAAUCCGCUAUGAGAUGGACCCGCGGCGCAUUAGCUAGUUGGUGAGGUAAGGGCUCACCAAGGCGACGAUGCGUAGCCGACCUGAGAGGGUGAUCGGCCACAUUGGAACUGAGACACGGUCCAGACUCCUACGGGAGGCAGCAGUGGGGAAUAUUGCGCAAUGGAGGAAACUCUGACGCCAGCAACGCCGCGUGAAUGAUGAAGGCCUUAGGGUUGUAAAGUUCUGUCUUCUGGGACGAUAAUGACGGUACCAGAGGAGGAAGCCACGGCUAACUACGUGCCAGCCGCCGC